rnacentral:misc_RNA from 1 species
GAAAUGCGAUAAGUAAUGUGAAUUGCAGAAUUCAGUGAAUCAUCGAAUCUUUGAACGCACCUUGCGCUCCUUGGUAUUCCUCGGAGCAUGCCUGUUUGAGUAUCAUGAAAUCUUCAAAGUAAAUCUUUUGUUAACUCAAUUGGUUUCUACUUUGGUAUUGGAGGUCUUUGCAGCUUCACACCUGCUCCUCUUUGUUCAUUAGCUGGAUCUCAGUGUUAUGCUUGGUUCCACUCGGCGUGAUAAGUUAUCUAUCGCUGAGGACACUGUAAAAGGUGGCCAAGGUAAAUGCAGAUGAACCGCUUCUAAUAGUCCAUUGACUUGGACAAUACUUUUAUGAUCUGAUCUCAAAUCAGGUAGGACUACCCGCUGAACUUAAGC